rnacentral:rRNA from 1 species
UACGUAGGGUGCAAGCGUUGUCCGGAAUUAUUGGGCGUAAAGAGCUCGUAGGUGGUUUGUCGCGUUGUUCGUGAAAACUCACAGCUCAACUGUGGGCGUGCGGGCGAUACGGGCAGACUAGAGUACUGCAGGGGAGACUGGAAUUCCUGGUGUAGCGGUGGAAUGCGCAGAUAUCAGGAAGAACACCCGUGGCGAAGGCGGUUCUCUGGGACGGUACUGACGCUGGAGACGCGAAAGCCGUGGGGAGCGAACAGG